AAUUUGAGUGUCUAUGUCAAAGCAAGAUCUAGUCAGGUGUCAACAUGAGACUGUAGUGGAAUAAGAGGAGUGCAGGAGAUAAGGAGCACAGAUAUUGCCACAGGAGCAGAGAACAAUGGAGUGGCACUAUUAGAAGAUAUGGCCUUAUUGGAGGAGCUGUGUCACUGUGGGGACAGACUUUGAGGUCUCAAGUGCUGAAGCUACACCCCAGUGUGGCUCACAGUUUCCUUCUGCUGUCUAUAUAACAAGAUGUAGAGCUCUCAUCUCCUUCUCCAGCACCAUGUCUGCCUGCACAUGGCCGUGCUUCCUGCCAUGAUGAUAAUGAACUAAACCUCUGAACUGUAAGCCAGCCCCAAUUAAACAUUUUCCUUUAUAAGAGUUGCCACAGUCAUGACGUCUCUUCACAGCAAUAGAACUCUAAGACAAUGCCCUUGCUCAGCUAUUAUGGACCUUCUGAAAUAAUGUAUUAGGGUUCUCUAAAGUAACAGAAUUUAUAGAAUGAAUCUUUCUCUCUCACUCUCUCUCUCUUUCUCAUAUACAUAUACAUAUAUACAUAUAUAUGGGGAUCUAUUGAUACUCUCAUAUAUAUAUAUGGGGAUUUAUUGAUACUCAUAUGUAUAUAUAUGAAGGUGAUUUAUUGUGAAUGACUUAUAGGUUAUAGUCCAGCUAAUCCAACAAUGUCUGUCUAUGAACUGCAAGUCCAAAAAUCCAGUAUUUAUUCAGUCUACAAGACUGGAUGUCUCAGUUGGUCUUUAGUAUAUGCUGGAAUGUAGUCAAGUUGACAAGCAAGAAUAGUCAUCACAAACCAUAAGCCCAAAUUAAAUGUCUUCUUUUGUAACUUGUCAUGGUCAUGUGUCCUUUUGUUGUUGUUGUUGUUUUUGUUUUUUUGUUUUUUGCUUUUUGAGACAGGGUUUCUCUGUAUAGCCCUGGCUGUCCUGGAACUCACUUUGUAGACCAGGCUGGCCUCAAACUCAGAAAUCCACCUGCCUCUGCCUCCUGAGUGCUGGGAUUAAAGGUGUGCCGCCACCACGCCUGGCUUCCUUUUUUUUUUUUUUUUUUUUUUUUUUGGUCAUGUUGUCUUAUCAUAAUAAUAGAAAAGUAACUAAGAUAUAAAAUUUUUUUAUCUUAUGAGCAUGGAUGUUUUUUCCUGAAUGUCUGUAUGUGUUGUGUGUGGUUAGUGUCCAUAGAGGCCAGAGUCAGGUGUUGGAUCACCCAGAACUAAAGUUAUAAAUGGUCAUGAACUACCAUUUGGGUGAUGGGAAUUGAACCCAGGUUCUCUGCAAAAGUAGCCCAUACUCUUAACCACGAAGCCAUCUCUCUAGCCCC
rnacentral:lncRNA from 1 species